GAGAAAACGCAAAUACUGUAUUUCAAGCGAUAUGUGUGUGAAGAGCUACACUGGCUUUUUAUGUUCGUAUUCGGUAGCCAGUUUAGUUUCCUAACCCGGGAAGAAAGCCUGGACAGACUCGCCCGGAGGCCUGGCUGAGAUGAAAGCGCGGUAUCAACUAUUACUAGCUUCGGUUUUAUAUUAAAGCUGCUCAGAACGGCGACUCAAACACACGCGAGACACGACUAACGUUACAGACCUGCGAAUCCCCGACAAUAUGCUCCGAGACUGGUGCUACACAACAGAAACAACUACCCAGGGAGACGGUGCUGACGAGGAGACUGUCUGCAGUCACAGAUGCCACAGGUAAGAGGAAGACCAAAUGUGAAAUGUGUUGGACGUGUAACCAUACAGCUCGCUGCAGGACAUGACCGGAACAACAAGUGCGUCAGCAAGGCACGAAGUGAGCAACUCUUCAUCCUGCUGUUAUCGAACUACAUAAUCAGCUACUAUUUGACACAUUUUCUCUUUCACAGCAUGUCUGUUCACUAUACAAGCAGCAUCUGCUCCUUGGCAUUAAAACCAGAGACUGGACACGGAGUACAAAACGUUAAACAUUAAGAAGUUGGAGAGCCACAAGUGUGAGUCUGAACACAGCAGCAGAUCAUCUUUUCACACCUUGAACAAAAUGAGUGAAUUAAUAAAGAAAUACACUUCCAACACAACUUUGGCACUUUUCUUUCUUAAAUUACACAUGCUAAGCUUUCAAAUAAAAAGGUUUCACUCCAAAAUACAGGUGGCCAUGAAUAAAAUGGGGAUUAAGUGAAACAGCUCUUCUUUUAUGCUCCAGAACACAUGACGUGAUGCGAGCGCGAAAAGACUCGUGACGGAACUGUGUUUGGGAUUCUGUUUCCGCCCGUCGGACGUUCUUGGACACACAGGUAAACUGAGCUUGACAGUUAGCCUGCUACGGAGCAGGCUAGUUCAGCAGUACAGGUUUCCUUGGUUACUGAGCAGAACCCUCUAAGCCGCAGUAAUGGAACGCAUCUCUCACUAAACUAAAUAAGCCAGGAGGUUCCUUUAUCCAGCCGAUGCUUCAGUCCGCAGUUUGUCACGUCAGCCAUGUUGUUUCCGUUGGUCGUCGUGCACCUGGAACGCUUUGAGGUCGGAAACUUCAACUGGGAAAUUCCGUCCUCCGAUGUUGUCUGAAACAGAGCAUGUAAACUGCGGCCGCCGCGAUCUCGUGAGGUUAUCGUUGCUCACGUGUGCAUGACGUCAGAGCAAGCCGCGAUCAAGUCAGACAAAAAUGUAACCGGCAUUGGGCGGCGAUCGAUUCUGCGCAGGCCUGGCUCAUCUCAGCCGAGCCUAAUGGCCCCAACAUGGCAGGCAGAACAAAAACAAACACUACGGUGAAGCCCUUUCAACAGAUCCUAAAUAAAACUAACUAAUUAAACAAG